rnacentral:rRNA from 1 species
CCUACGGGAGGCAGCAGUGAGGAAUAUUGCACAAUGGGCGUAAGCCUGAUGCAGCGACGCCGCGUGAGUGAAGAAGUAUUUCGGUACCGAAAACUCUAUCAGCAGGGGAAAAAAACGGACGGUGCGUGAGUAAGAAGCCCCAGCUCACUACGUGCCAGCAGCCGCGGUAGUACGUAGGGGGCAAGCGUUAUCCGGAAUUACUGGGUGUAAAGGGAGCGUAGACGGCAAUGCAAGUCCGGAGUGGAAUGUGGCAGCUCAACCGUCGAAUUGCGAUGGAAACUGGAUGGCUUGAGUGCAGGAGGGGUAAGCGGAAUUCCUGGUGUAGCGGUGAAAUGCUUAGAUAUCAGGAGGAACCCCGGUGGCGAAGGCAGCUUACUGGACUGUAACUGACGUUGAGGCUCGAAAGCGUGGGGAGCAAACAGGAUUAGAUACCCGUGUAGUC